AAGGAUCUCCUUGGGAGGCCCAGCUGAGCACUGUAGCCCCUCGGACCACUGUCUCCCAGAUCAAUCUUGGGCAAAGAACGAGAGCGGAAACCAGGAGAGCUCCGGCUUCUCGGGACUUCUGGGCCUGAGGUGGUGGCUGAGCCGGCGGAGGAGGCAGGAACCCGUUGUCCCGAAGGCCUGUGGCCUCUGCCUCCACAGGUGUUACCAAGAGUGACUUACACACAGGUGAGACAAGGACAGGCUGAGGGUAUCACUUUCUUCUACCACCCCUGUGCCCACCUCUGGCUGAAGCUCCAGCUUGCUGUCUUGGCCCAUUUGUGUGUGGCUAAGCCCACACUCAUUCCUGACUUCAGUCUCCCUUGGGACCGGCCCUUGGUGCUGACAGCAUGGGGGACUGCACUGGAGAUGGCUUGGAUAGAGCCAGCCUGGGCUGCCCAAUGGCUGAAGAGGCAGUGGCGGCGACGGAGGCGGAAGCAGAGAAAGAGUGUGUGGUUUCUCUCUGACAAUCUUUUUGGGCCCACUCCCAUGAUGCCAGCCCCCAGAAGAGGGAAGCUGUGUGGGAGACGCUGUGUACAGGCCCCGACUCUGGCUUUUGCUCUGCGGAGCUGGCGACCUCCUGGUGUAGAGGUGACAUCUAGAGGACCCAGGAGGUCCUCACUCAGUGUUGUCAAGAAAAGGGGUCUCCGUGCUGCCCUUGGUCUACAAUCCACUCC
rnacentral:lncRNA from 1 species